GUAGUCUCGCACAGAUGCAUAUCAAUAAGCGGAGGAAAAGAAACUAACAAGGAUUCCCCUAGUAACGGCGAGUGAAGCGGGAAGAGCUCAAAUUUGAAAUCUUAAAGGGUUUCCCUUUACGAAUUGUAGUUUAAAGAAGUGUUUUCUGUUGAGGUUUUGAUAAAAGUUCUUUGGAAUAGGACAUCAUAGAGGGUGAGAAUCCCGUAUUUGACCUUUACUUUCAACUUUGUGAUACACUUUCAAAGAGUCGGAUUGUUUGGGAAUGCAGUCCAAAAUGGGUGGUAAAUUUCAUCUAAAGCUAAAUAUUGGCGAGAGACCGAUAGCGAACAAGUACCGUGAGGGAAAGAUGAAAAGAACUUUGAAAAGAGAGUUAAACAGUACGUGAAAUUGUCAAAAGGGAAGCGUUUGACACCAGUGUUGUUUUUCUGAAAAUCAAUUAAAGAACUGUUUAUGCUAAGCUGUUUAGACUUUAUCAGCUAUCUGUUUAGUUUUGAGCUUUUCUUUAAUGCACUUUUCAGUUAACAAGUCAACAUCAAUUUCUUUUGCUGUAAAAAAGCUUGAGGAAGGUGGCUUGAGAUUCGUCUUAAGUGUUUAUAGCCUCUUGCCUAUGCAGUCGGAGAGAUUGAGGUCUGCAGCGUAGAUCCUUCGGGGCUAAAUGCAUUUGUGCUAAGUUAUAGCAUUUUAUAGACAACUUGUUGACUAUGAUUUGUCUUGUAGCUUACUCGCUUAUGUUAUUUUACCUACGCUUAGGAUGUUGACAGCAGUAUAGACUGU
rnacentral:rRNA from 1 species